CACGUAGGGCGCAAGCGUUGUCCGGAAUUAUUGGGCGUAAAGAGCUCGUAGGUGGUUUGCUGCGUCCGCUGUGAAAACCCAAGGCUUAACCUUGGGCUUGCAGUGGAUACGGGCAGACUAGAGGUAGGUAGGGGAGAAUGGAAUUCCUGGUGUAGCGGUGAAAUGCGCAGAUAUCAGGAGGAACACCGAUGGCGAAGGCAGGUCUCUGGGCCACUACUGACGCUGAGAAGCGAAAGCAUGGGGAGCGAACAGG
rnacentral:rRNA from 1 species